rnacentral:rRNA from 1 species
UACGAAGGGGGCUAGCGUUGUUCGGAAUUACUGGGCGUAAAGCGCACGUAGGCGGGUCGUUAAGUCAGGGGUGAAAUCCCGGAGCUCAACUCCGGAACUGCCUUUGAUACUGGCGAUCUAGAGAUCGAGAGAGGUGAGUGGAAUUCCGAGUGUAGAGGUGAAAUUCGUAGAUAUUCGGAAGAACACCAGUGGCGAAGGCGGCUCACUGGCCCGGUACUGACGCUCAGGUGCGAAAGCGUGGGGAGCAAACAGG